AUUGAACGCUGGCGGCAUGCUUUACACAUGCAAGUCGAACGGUAACAGGCCGCAGGGUGCUGACGAGUGGCGAACGGGUGAGUAAUGCAUCGGAACGUGCCCAGUCGUGGGGGAUAACGCAGCGAAAGCUGUGCUAAUACCGCAUACGAUCUGUGGAUGAAAGCGGGGGACCGUAAGGCCUCGCGCGAUUGGAGCGGCCGAUGUCAGAUUAGGUAGUUGGUGGGGUAAAGGCUCACCAAGCCGACGACCUGUAGCUGGUCUGAGAGGACGACCAGCCACACUGGGACUGAGACACGGCCCAGACUCCUACGGGAGGCAGCAGUGGGGAAUUUUGGACAAUGGGCGCAAGCCUGAUCCAGCAAUGCCGCGUGCAGGAAGAAGGCCUUCGGGUUGUAAACUGCUUUUGUACGGAGCGAAAAGGCUCUCUCUAAUACAGGGGGCUCAUGACGGUACCGUAAGAAUAAGCACCGGCUAACUACGUGCCAGCAGCCGCCGUAAGAC
rnacentral:rRNA from 1 species